rnacentral:lncRNA from 1 species
UAGACCCCUUUUCUUCCAUAUUUUCAAGAGAAAAUAAGUUCUGUUGGAGAUUCUUUGGUGUUAAAUAAGAAUAUCAAGUUAUUUUUCAAAGAUCAAGAUCUUUGGUAAAGUUCUUUCUACUAAAAAUCCAUUCUGUUUUUCUUUUUAUUUAAAGGCUAGAUCUUACGUCUUUAUGGUAAAAUUGUCAUUUUUUAUAUCUUAAGCGUGAUGUUUCAUUCAUGAUUUUAAUAACAUGCAUUUUUUUUUUUGUUUUAGGAGGUGAAACCUCCAAAGGGAAAGGGCAAAAAGUAAUGGAGGCUUGUGUAUUUUCUCCAUUUCAGAUAAUGUUAGGCCUUACAUUUAUGUUUUAUAUUAAAUGUGCCUCAAAAUCUUAUUUUUAUGCAAUAUAUGUAUAGAUCCAUGCCCAAGAUGCCAUAUUCAUGCACUUUGUGAAGCUACAUGAAAUUUAUGCUUGUAUUAUUAUGAAGUCAGAAUUUUCAACUGCUGUCGCUCUAAAUUUAUGUUUAAAAAUAAAGUUUCAAAGCCAUAUUAAGUGGUUAC